rnacentral:rRNA from 1 species
CGGGGGGGGCAAGCGUUGUUCGGAAUUACUGGGCGUAAAGGGCUCGUAGGCGGCCAACUAAGUCGGACGUGAAAUCCCCAGGCUCAACCUGGGAACUGCGUCUGAUACUGGAUGGCUUGAAUCCGGGAGAGGGAUGCAGAAUUCCAGGUGUAGCGGUGAAAUGCGUAGAUAUCUGGAGGAAUACCGGUGGCGAAGGCGGCAUCCUGGACCGGCAUUGACGCUGAGUAAGCGAAAGCCAGGGGAGCAAACGGGAUUAGAUACCCCGGUAGUCCUGGCCCUAAACGAUGAAUGCUUGGUGUGACGGGUAUCGAUCCCUGUCGUGCCGAAGCUAACGCAUUAAGCAUUCCGCCUGGGGAUACGGUCGCAAGGCUAG